GACGAACGCUGGCGGCGUGCUUAACACAUGCAAGUCUAACGGAAAGGCUCCAGCUUGCUGGAGUACUCGAGUGGCGAACGGGUGAGUAACACGUGGGUGAUCUGCCCUGCACUUCGGGAUAAGCCUGGGAAACUGGGUCUAAUACCGGAUAGGACCGCACUUUGGUGUGUGUGGUGGAAAGGUUUUUCUGGUGUGGGAUGAGCUCGCGGCCUAUCAGUUUGUUGGUGGGGUAAUGGCCUACCAAGACGGCGACGGGUAGCCGGCCUGAGAGGGUGGACGGGCACAUUGGGACUGAGAUACGGCCCAGACUCCUACGGGAGGCAGCAGUGGGGAAGAUUGCACAAUGGGGGAAACCCUGAUGCAGCGACGCCGCGUGGGGGAUGAAGGCCUUCGGGUUGUAAACUCCGUUCGCUAGGGACGAAGCUUUUUGUGACGGUACCUGGAGAAGAAGCACCGGCUAACUACGUG
rnacentral:rRNA from 1 species